GAAAGGCGGGCUAAACCCGCGUACAUGCCACCGGGGCAUCCCGGAGGCAGGAAAGGCUUCGGCCGGACAGGGAUGGGCAUGCGGCGCAUUAGGCAGUAGGCGGGGUAACGGCCCACCUAACCGACGAUGCGUAGGGGUUCUGAGAGGAAGGUCCCCCACACUGGUACUGAGACACGGACCAGACUCCUACGGGAGGCAGCAGUGAGGAAUAUUGGUCAAUGGUCGGGAGACUGAACCAGCCAAGCCGCGUGAGGGAUGAAGGUACAGAGUAUCGUAAACCUCUUUUGUCAGGGAACAAAGGCGGGGACGUGUCCCCGGAUGAGUGUACCUGAAGAAAAAGCAUCGGCUAACUCCGUGCCAGCAGCCGCGGUAAUACGGAGGAUGCGAGCGUUAUCCGGAUUUAUUGGGUUUAAAGGGUGCGCAGGCGGUCUGUUAAGUCAGCGGUCAAAGCCCGGGGCUCAACCCCGGCCCGCCGUUGAAACUGGCAGUCUCGAGUUGGAGAGAAGUAUGCGGAAUGCGCGGUGUAGCGGUGAAAUGCAUAGAUAUCGCGCAGAACUCCGAUUGCGAAGGCAGCAUGCCGGCUCCACACUGACGCUGAGGCACGAAAGCGUGGGUAUCGAACAGGAUUAGAUACCCUGGUAGUCCACGCAGUAAACGAU
rnacentral:rRNA from 1 species